CUUGAUUUCACUAACAACAUGUUUGGUUGGGGGGAAUAGGAAUGCAUUCCCCCCAAUUCGGUGAGCCCACCACCAAACUAACGUUUGGUUGGCUGUAAUACCAUUACAGCCUGAAUCCAUUCAGGCCCUAUUACAUGAAAAGGCUGUAAUAAUCAUUCCUUGCCUUUAAAUCUGAUUAGCUAUUCCAUCCGCCUGUUCCGAUUUUCCUUUUCCCAUUUUCUAAUUUUUGCCCUCAGCUUCAUCUUCUCCUUCUGUAACUUUCUUUCCAACCAUCUUUACGUUUCCCUUUUCUUCCAUUGAUUGCAGAGGAGACCUAGAUAUUUCAGGUAAUUUAUUUUUUCCUUCUUUAUGAUUUUUCCUUCUUUAUGAUUUCCAUUUCAACCCUAUUUUACCCUCCCAAUCCAAAAGCAUACUAUGCAAACGGAAACUGCCAGGAAAGUCAAGGCUCCACCCGCUCCUGAUUAUUCACUUUCAUCUUCGCAUCUUUCGCCGGCUCCACCGUCUCAAAUCUCCAGCCCAACUAUUUCGCUCACUCUCUUAUUGGACUGAUCGAAGUCCAAGUGCUUCUUCACUUUAUCGGUGCCUAUUUUCAGGACUGGAGUACCACCUGUUCAGAGGAGGGCUAAGAAUGGAGGUUUUGCAGCAAAGCCAAUCCAGCACCAGCCGCAACAGCAACAAGAAGGGAAUGUAGUUACAAAGCAAAGGCCUCAUACACUGGAUUCGUUGUUUGCCGAUAUGAAAAAAGAGCGAAUGAAUGGUCCUGCACAAUGUAACGGCAGCAGUCGACAAAAAAUGCCAUGGAGAAGAGGCCGAUUUGGCAACUGAUGGUGUUGUGAGACGUAGUAUUCCCUCUGCUGCUGGACAAGCUAUCUCGUCUUUUUUGGGCAAUAUAGAUGCUUGUUUUUCUUACUUUCGCCAUCAAAAUAAUGCGAGCAUUUUACGUGAGAAAGUGACAGUUCAGUUGUAUAGUGAUUUUCCUUCGUUUUCUAUUGGCUCGUGGACUGUACCCCUUGAGAAUUGAUACAAAUAGGGUUGUUCAUUUUUUUAAUUCAGUUAAAUUUAACCUA